rnacentral:rRNA from 1 species
UACGGAGGGUGCAAGCGUUAAUCGGAAUUACUGGGCGUAAAGCGCACGUAGGCGGUUUGUUAAGCCAGCUGUGAAAUCCCCGGGCUCAACCUGGGCACUGCAGUUGGAACUGGCAAGCUAGAGUAUGGUAGAGGGGUGUGGAAUUUCAGGUGUAGCGGUGAAAUGCGUAGAUAUCUGAAGGAACAUCAGUGGCGAAGGCGACACCCUGGAUCAAUACUGACGCUGAGGUGCGAAAGCGUGGGGAGCAAACAGG